rnacentral:rRNA from 1 species
UUGUUGGAGUUAUAAAGAAUCUAACCUGCCCCCUGAUUUUUAUAAUUAAAGGGCCGCAGUAUUAUAACUGUGCUAAGGUAGCAUAGUCAUUAGGUUUUUAAUUGAAAUCUUGUAUGAAUGGUUGGACGAAAGAAAAACUCUCUUUAAAUUAAUUUUGAAUUUAACUUUUAAGUGAAAAGGCUUAAAUAUUUUAAAAAGACGAUAAGACCCUAUAAAACUUUAUAUUGUAGUUAAAUUUUAUUAAGUUUAUAAAUUAAAAAUUUAAUUUAAUUAUUUAUUAUGUUGGGGAGACAUAGGCAAAAAUAAUAUUUAACUGCUUAAAAAAUACACAUUUAUAAUUGAAUAUAUAAGAGAUCCUUUUUAAAGAUUAGAAGAUUAAGUUACUUUAGGGAUAACAGCGUAAUUUCUUUUGAGAGUUCUUAUCGAAAAAGCAGGUUGCGACCUCGAUGUUGAAUUAAAAUAUCUAUAUAAUGCAGAGGUUAUAAAAGAAGGUCUGUUCGACCUUUAA